GUGGUUGAUCCUGCUAGUAGUCAUAUGCUUGUCUCAAAGAUUAAGCCAUGCAUGUCUAUAUACAUGCCGUAUUAAGGCGAAACCGCGAAUGGCUCAUUAAAUUAGUUAUGGUUCUUUGGAUCGUACUUUACUAUUCGGAUAACUGUGGCAAUUCUAGAGCUAAUACAUGCAGCAGAGUUCCGACCCUCUAGGGAUGAGCGCUUUAUAGACCAAAACCAAUCGGACCUCGUAUCCGUAUUAUGUGGUGACUGUAUAACUUUGGGCUGAUCGCAUGGGCUCGUCCCGGCGACAUAUCUUUCAAGUGUCUGUCCUUAUCAACUGUCGAUGGUAGGUUACGCACCUACCAUGGUCGCAACGGGUGACGAGGAAUCAGAAUUCGAUUCCGGAGAGAGCCUGAGAAACGACUACCACAUCCAAGGAAGGCCGCAGGCGCGCAAAUUAACUACUCCCAUAACGGGGAGGUAGUGACGAAAAAUAACAAUACGGGACUCUUUUGAGACCCAUGUAAUUGGAAUGAGUACACUCUAAAUCCUUUAACGAGGAUUAAUUGGAGGGCAAGUCUGGUACCAGCAUACGCGGUAAUUCCAGCUCCAAUAGCGUAUAUU
rnacentral:ncRNA from 1 species